rnacentral:rRNA from 1 species
GAUGAACGCUGGCGGCGUGCCUAACACAUGCAAGUCGAACGGGAAUUAUUUUAUUGAAACUUCGGUCGAUUUAAUUUAAUUCUAGUGGCGGACGGGUGAGUAACGCGUGGGUAACCUGCCUUAUACAGGGGGAUAGCAGUCAGAAAUGGCUGCUAAUACCGCAUAAGCGCACAGAGCUGCAUGGCUCAGUGUGAAAAACUCCGGUGGUAUAAGAUGGACCCGCGUUGGAUUAGCUUGUUGGCAGGGUAACGGCCUACCAAGGCGACGAUCCAUAGCCGGCCUGAGAGGGUGAACGGCCACAUUGGGACUGAGACACGGCCCAGACUCCUACGGGAGGCAGCAGUGGGGAAUAUUGCACAAUGGGGGAAACCCUAAUGCAGCGACGCCGCGUGAAGGAAGAAGUAUCUCGGUAUGUAAACUUCUAUCAGCAGGGAAGAUAGUGACGGUACCUGACUAAGAAGCCCCGGCUAACUACGUG